GCCCGGAUGGCGGAACUGGUAGACGCAAGGGACUUAAAAUCCCUCGGUCCUAGCGACUGUGCGAGUUCGAUUCUCGCUCCGGGCACCA
rnacentral:tRNA from 1 species